AACAAGGAAUUGUUGGGUGGGAAAAGGGGUCAGGAGGUUAGACUAAAAAAGUGGAUCAAAAUAAAAAAAAAAUUUUUUUCAUGCAAGUUACCUGUCUAACUCCGAAAGAAUUUGCAACUCCUGAGGCCACCACUUCCUGGUGACAGCAUACGAUUAACAGCGCCAUUUUGCGUUUAUUCUCUUCGUUAAAAUUACCUAACCAAU